rnacentral:rRNA from 1 species
CAGCCGCCGCGGUAAUACGUAGGUGGCAAGCGUUGUCCGGAAUUAUUGGGCGUAAGGGCUCGCGGGCGGUCUCUUAAGUCUGAUGUGAAAGCCCCCGGCUCAACCGGGGAGGGUCAUUGGAAACUGGGAAACUUGAGUGCAGAAGAGGAGAGUGGAAUUCCACGUGUAGCGGUGAAAUGCGUAGAGAUGUGGAGGAACACCAGUGGCGAAGGCGACUCUCUGGUCUGUAACUGACGCUGAGGAGCGAAAGCGUGGGGAGCGAACAGGAUUAGAUACCCCAGUAGUCCCUGUCUCUUAUACC